UACGUAGGGGGCUAGCGUUAUCCGGAAUUACUGGGCGUAAAGGGUGCGUAGGCGGUCUUUCAAGCCAGAAGUGAAAGGCUACGGCUCAACCGUAGUAAGCUUUUGGAACUGUAAGACUUGAGUGCAGGAGAGGAGAGUGGAAUUUCUAGUGUAGCGGUGAAAUGCGUAGAUAUUAGGAGGAACACCAGUAGCGAAGGCGGCUCUCUGGACUGUAACUGACACUGAGGAACGAAAGCGUGGGUAGCAAACAGGAUUAGAUACCCGCGUAGUCCCUGAG
rnacentral:rRNA from 1 species